AGUGACUCCAUCCAGCCAUCUCAUUCUCUGUCGUCCCCUUCUUCUAUUGCCCUCAAUCUUUCCCAGCAUUAGGCUCUUCUCCAGUGAAUCCUUCCUUCUCAUUAGGUGGCCAAAGUACUUGAGUUUUUUCAAGAAUGCAAAUUCCCAAAUGCAGAUUUUUUUCUAAGAUUAGCUUCCAUAACUCAAUCUAUCCAAAAUUUCUAUAUUAACAUUUUACUCACUUAUAUUGUAUUCUAAUGUAGCCUUAAAUAGAAACUACAGCCUUACAUGCCCAGAUUUUCAAUUACCAAAGUUUUAUUUGAUUUUUGGCUAAUUUAAUAAAUGCAAAAGAAUAGACAGCAGAAUUUCCCCUGAACGCUAUAAAGUAUGUGGAAUACUAUAUAGUUUUACAAAAAUAAAAUCAAAAGCCACUCCUAAUUAUGCUUUUGAAUUAUCAAGAAUUGUGCAGAAAAGAAACUUCAUCCAAAAUGUCAGAUACUCCUGCAAUAGUAAAUGGACCCUUGCAAAUAUCUAGGAAAGGGACUAAAAGUAAAUCCAGAAAUAUAAUGUUCGACUUACAACAGUUAAUGAGUUACAGUAUCACUGGAAAAAAGUGACUUGUGACCGUUUUUCACAUGACCGUUGCAGCAUCCCUGUAGUCACAUGAUCAAAAUUCGGUUGCUUGGCUACUAGUUCAUAUUUAUGACAGUUACAGUGUCCCGGGGAGGUCAUGUGAUCCCCUUUUACGAUCUCCUAACAUGCAAAGUCAAUGGGGAAGCCAGAUUCACGUAACUACUCAGUUUUGGAGGUGGAUUAAUCAUGCUGAAAAUAAAUUCAUCAGUAUUCGUAACAGAACUGCAGAUACACCUGUCCCCUAGAAACUUCUGUAUUGGAGGAGAAAUAAUCUGUUGGUGUGUUAAUGAUUUACUAAAGAAUAAAUACCCAUAUUAGAUAUUCUGUAUUUGUAAUUCACGUAAGUGAAAUAAGGUCUUCUAGCAGACAAGAGUGCAUUUGAUAAGAUUUUCACAGAAGCAAAUCAAUACAGCACAGAAAAAAUCUACACAAAGGGCCUGGAGACAAUGGCAAAUGCAAAGCAAGCAGCUUUUCAAUUUUUAGAAGACAUGAAAACACGGAUUCUGACGGAUGAUUGGGUUCUUGGGGGACUGGUGGUGAUGGUUUCAUUUGUCACUAUCAUCAUUGUCCUCAUUUUGUUUGCUGUGAUCUUUGGCUGCUGCUCAACUCAAAGAAAAAACUAAGUUCUGAGUAAAUCAUCAGAUCACUUGCCUUUACGGAAUUGGAACUAGAGUGACUGAGCAGUAUAAAGAGCUUCUUCUUCUUGCUGUUUAUCUUUUGAGUUUAGAAAUGAAUGUAUCAAGAGAAGAAACUGGUGCUGCUAAAGCACAAAACCAACUACCAUCUGAGGGCUGACUCCAAGUGAAGUUUGCAUCAAGCAACCAUGUUUCUGUUGUGUCUUUGAUUCAAAGAUGGUGUCUGUUAGCAAUGGAAACCUGAACAAGAAAUAGCUGUGAUCUCAGAAAUCUACAUUUAAUCAUUCAAAAGGCCAGUUUUAAUACAAUACUUCAGAUUAUGUCUAAUUUUUCUGAAGAUCAUCUACUUAACUUUUUUUUCUAGCAAACUUUUUAUGUACGAAAGGACCUGACCGUUGGCCUACUUACAGCAUUUGUUACAUCUAAAAUCAAUGUUAUGAACAAAAAAAAAUCGAAUUGUUAUUCAAAAUAAAGAAUAGCCCUAACCCUUUA